GCAUAUAUCAUGGCUUAAUAACCAGACGAAUUCCUGUGUGAACAAAUAAAACUGCACUGAAAUACAGUCUACAGGUUUAAAGUCCUGUCCAUGCAUACGAGAUACAUAUAGCUAUCAACCAAACCACAUACCUUUACUGCACAUCGCGACGCCUCUUGAGUAUACUGUACCAGCCGUGGUUUGAAUAACCAUGCAGUACGUCAUUUCACGUAGUUUUUCUAUUCUAUAUAUACAUUUACAGCAAAUUUGCACUUGGCGGUCAAUUGUCCUAUAUUCUAUAUCAAUAUAACAUUGGUUAAAAACUUUGCCAAAAAGACUUUGGUUAAGCUUUGACUGGUCCUGCAAAGAAUCUGCCUCACAAGACAUGUGUUUGAAGAAGGAAUUAUACCAUAUAAGCGUACAGAUUGCACAGACCAAACAAACAACUAAUACAAAAGAUAAUUAACAUAAAAAUGUGUUGUCUACUUGUCUACAUACAGGUGCCUAAAAAAAACGCAAAACCAUUGAAAUAACGUAUUGUUAAAAUUUGAAUGCCCUAGCACUAAGCUGAAUGCAAAGAUGCGUAAAAUAUUGACUAGGGUGCAUAUAUUAAAUAUUGACUUAUUAAGAAAUUAAAAUAUAUUUGUAAAGCGCACGAUUUUCUGCUCUUGGGAAUUUAAAACAGCAUCUUAAACGGUUCUUUAUGCAUAAAAUUUACUUACGUCAAGCUUUGAUGCACGUGUGGGUUCAGCAGAGUGCUGAGGCAUUCAAAUUCUAACAAUACAUUAAUUUCAAUAGUUUUCGUAAACGAAAACUAUUGAAAUCACCAAUGAAUAUGUUUUAGCACUUUGUUGGUUCCCACGAGUGCAUAAAUGAUUGACAUAAGUAAAUUUUAUGCAUAAAGAAACUGUUUAAGAAGCUGUUUUAAAUUCCCAAGAGCAGAAAAUCGCGCACUUUACAAGGAGAUGUUUUUAACUAAAUUUUAAUACAUGCACCUUGUCAAUAUUUUACGCAUCAUUACGUUCAGCUCAGUUGGAAGGGCAUUCAAAUUUUAACAAUAGUUUUCGAUUUUUUUGGGACACCCUGUACACCCUGUACAUGCAGGCUUUGUAUACAGUUUAUUCAAAAUUCCCCAAAAUCAUAAACGACAAUAGAAAUAGAGUAUAAAAGUGUAUUUGAUGUAUAUGACGCCUAUGAGCCGGAUGUUUAACCAAGCCGUGACGAGAGUUUUAUCCCUGUUAACCGGGCCAGCCCAUAUGAACAGCCCCAAAAAUAACUUUUCAUGUGCCAAAUGAGCUGAAACAACGAGAUUUCGAAAUAGGUCUAAAAAAGUCUUGCUUUUGUUGUUUUCCCUUACAUCGCAUGCAAGUGAAACCAGAUUUUAAAACCCAUUUCUAUGCCAAGAAGACAAAAAGGCUAGGCCUGCUUGAAACCAUUCGAUGAUUUUCGUGGUAUAUUUGUCCAACCAUUAGUUGAAUACGUCUUUCUAUUAAUAGUGUACUGUACAUCUACCUAUACGACAAGAAAGUAAGGUCGGUAAAUGUCGGUUACAAAAAGCGACAAAUCGAUCGUAGGGUGGCAACCGUAAUUUCUGGCCAAACCUUCAUAGGGACUGUUUGUGGGAACUUGCCCUGUUCGAAAGUUCAUGUACAGGGAGUGACAUUUCCAUGAAACAACUGGUCGCGGAGACCAGCAUGCAAGAACCCUGAUUGGUGAAUAGGCUCUUUGCAGUUAACUUACAAUAGUUGAGAAUAAUAGAGUUUGUAAACAAAAGAGUAUACAAAGCACAACAUUUUCUUGCCCUCCAGAUAUUGUUAUACCAGAUGUUUUUAGGCCAUCUGCAGAGAACUGGCCUUCUCUGUUUGGUCAAUUUUAAUUUGUCCCAACGAUGACGUGUCGCAUGUGCUGCAUACAUUAACAUUAACGGUUUACAGUAAUUUAAAUAAUUACAUUGAUUAAAAAUUUGCAGUUCAUUAUAGGUAAUAUACGUGCAGCAAACAUUAAAAAUGUCUUUUUUAAAUUAUAAGAUAUAUUAACUUUACAUUAAUUUAAAAUUAUUACUUUGAUUAAAAUUUCAAUUCGGUCGCUAUACAUUAUAUAAAGACAACUACGUGCAGCUAACAUUAAAAAUGUCUUCUUAAAAUUAAUAAAAAUAUGUCAUUGUUUACUGUCAUUCCAAUUGAAGUGUUCCUCAAAUAUUGAUUCAAUACAUUACCUCGGGCUGACCAAUUCAUUUGAUCAAGUUCCUCAAAAUAUUCGCACACUUCCUAGUAUAAUUGUAAACUUCCUGUUGAAUAUGUUUGCGAUGUUACUCUGAGUGCAUAUCCACACCGGGCGAGCUUGAAAAAUAUGCCCGGCCACGGUGGGAUUCGAACCUACGACCUUUGGAAUACUAGCCCAAUGCUCUUCCAACUGAGCUACGCGGUCAGGACGGUUCGAGUAAGUGAUAUUUCGGAACAGUAUCUAGUUCCUUCAAUACCAAUGUAUAGCUAGUAGUAGUCAAUACCUAGUAUUCCAAAGGUCGUAGGUUCGAAUCCCACCGUGGCCGGGCAUAUUUUUCAAGCUCGCCCGGUGUGGAUAUGCACUCAGAGUAACAUCGCAAACAUAUUAUUCACCUGAGUACACAACACCAACACAGAAAAAUUCCUGUUGAAUAGUUUGAAUGCACCAAUCACCUUUGUUGUUUGUGCAACUAACCAAUCAUAAAUAGAAAGGAAGUGACCAGAAAUGAUCAAAUUCUUGGAAUUGGC
rnacentral:tRNA from 1 species